rnacentral:rRNA from 1 species
GGCGAGAGGUGAUAUAUUCGGGAGUGCCGGAGGUAAAGGGGGAGGAGGCUAGGUUCCCAAAGGAGCGCGGCGGCGGCGUCGGCGGAAGCAGGUGCGGCGGUGCUACGGCAGCGUGUUCUGGAAGGCCUAGUUCGUCUUCGACCGGUUCUUCGUCGCGGUCUUGGCGGGGUAGGGGAUGACCUAGGCGUACUCCUGGCUGUUGUGGUAGUCCAUGUUGCGGUUCGCGUCCGUGACCGCGGCGUGGUUCGAGCCUAAGAUUAGGCCCCUACUGCCGCUACUGUGGGCAACGACGGCUGCCCUCUUCCCAGAUCCCAUGGAUCCCAAAUACUACAGAGCAACAAAAACGUACGAUCGUUCACUGAGGCCCUACGGUCAAAAUUCUAAAGCGAACACAACUUUCUAUAAUAAUAAUAAUGACGAACAUCGGAUGGACCCUAUGGCAGUAUAAAACGACUAAUACCUUGGGGAAAAUAGGACGAAUUCUGGACAUAAAACGGACUCAACUUUACAGGACUGGUCAACUUUAGGAAGCAAUGGGAUCAUACUAAUGGAUGGACGUAAAACUUACUUAAAGAACACAUCGCCAAACCGAAAUUCAAGUAAACCCACAUUUUAACAAUUAGCCAACACACCAUCCCCUAUUAACAUAACACCAAACACAUCUUAUGGACAACAUCCGUACACAUUAAGGACCCACUGAACGGAUCAUAGUACGUGUUAACCUAGAAGGUACACCUUGGUUUAUACAUCCAACUAAGUUACAAGAUGUUAAUAGACAGAGACAACACCAACGAAAUGAACAAGUCAUAACAAAAUUCGAGACUAUAGGAAAACGAACUAUGAGGGAGGCAGGCCC